rnacentral:tRNA from 1 species
CGGCCAGUGGUGGAAUUGGUAGACACAGCGACUUGCCAAGUCGCCGCCUUCAGGCAUGCGGGUUCGAAUCCCGCCUGGUAAA